rnacentral:lncRNA from 1 species
CGGUGAGGGCGGAGGUGGGCGGAGCACAGGCGAGGAGAAGGAAAGUUGAUGGGCCGAGCUGGAAAGGACUGGCCCAGUCGAGACCCAGGUUGGGUGAUUGUUGCAUGGAGGUGCACGUAGACAUGGAAGGAGGAGUGAUUGUUAAGGUGGAGGUGGAGUAGGAUAUUGAGGUGAUGGGGUAGGAACCGGUGUGGGUAGUGAGGAGGAGCUGGUUGGAGUCGGUGGAGCAGGAGACGUAGGGGUAGAACCGGGGGGAGCCGCAGCCGUAGCCCGACCC